UUCGCCCGGGGACUACGAGCAUAAGCUUAAAACCCAAAGGACUUGGCGGUGCUUUAAACCCACCUAGAGGAGCCUGUUCUAUAACCGAUAACCCCCGUUAAACCUCACCUUCUCUUGUUAUUUCCGCCUAUAUACCGCCGUCGUCAGCUUACCCUGUGAAGGCUAUUUAGUAAGCAAAACUGAUUAUAUCCAAAACGCCAGGUCAAGGUGUAGCAAAUGAGAAGGAAAGAAAUGGGCUACAUUUUCUAAUUCAGAAAAUACGGAAAUUGCCAUGAAACAGCACAUUAAAGGAGGAUUUAGCAGUAAGUGGGGAAUAGAGAGCUCC
rnacentral:rRNA from 1 species